AGCAGCCGCGGUAAUUCCAGCUCCAAUAGCGUAUAUUAAAGUUGUUGCAGUUAAAAAGCUCGUAGUUGAAUUUCGGGGUUAGUAGGUUGGUCGUGCCACUGGUACGUACUGGUCUCACUGAUUCCUCCUUCCUGAUGAACUGUAAUGCCAUUAAUUUGGUGUUGCAGGGAAACUGGACUGUUACUUUGAAAAAAUUUAGAGUGUUUAAAGCAAGCUAACGCUUGAAUACAUUAGCAUGGAAUAAUGAAAUAGGACGUUCGAUCCUAUUUUGUUGGUUUCUAGGAUUGACGUAAUGAUUAAUAGGGAUAGUUGGGGGCAUUAGUAUUCAAUUGUCAGAGGUGAAAUUCUUGGAUUAUUGAAGACUAACUACUGCGAAAGCAUUUUGCCAAGGAUGUUUUCAUUAAUCAAGAACGAAAGUUAGGGGAUCGAAGACGAUCAGAUACCGUCGUAGUCUUAACCAUAAACUAUGCCGACUAGGGAUCGGAUGAUGUUAAUUUUAUAAUGACGCGUUCGGCACCUU
rnacentral:rRNA from 1 species